rnacentral:rRNA from 1 species
UUAUGGCUCAGGACGAACGCUGGCGGCGUGCCUAACACAUGCAAGUCGAACGGAGAUAAGCGGAGAGCUUGCUUUCUGCAUAUCUUAGUGGCGGACGGGUGAGUAACGCGUGGGUAACCUACCCUGUACAGGGGGAUAGCAGCUGGAAACGGCUGAUAAAACCGCAUAAAACGGCAGUACCGCAUGGUACAACCGUCAAAUAUUUAUAGGUACAGGAUGGGCCCGCGUCUGAUUAGCCAGUUGGUGGGGUAACGGCCUACCAAAGCAACGAUCAGUAGCCGGCCUGAGAGGGUGAACGGCCACAUUGGGACUGAGACACGGCCCAAACUCCUACGGGAGGCAGCAGUGGGGAAUAUUGGACAAUGGGGGGAACCCUGAUCCAGCCGACGCCGCGUGAGUGAAGAAGUAUUUCGGUAUGUAAAGCUCCAUCAGCAGGGAAGAUGACGACGGUACCUGACUAAGAAGCACCGGCUAAAUACGUGCCAGCCGCCGC